GGUCCACACUUUUCUGGGAAUUCCUUUUGCCAAGCCACCUCUAGGACCUUUGCGGUUUGCACCCCCUGAAGCUGCUGAGCCCUGGAGUGGUGUGAGGGAUGCCUCCUCCCACCCUGCUAUGUGUCCACAGGUUUCUUUCUUAAGUAGUACCGAGGGUAUAAAGGUGUUUAAUGUGACUCCGCUGCCUAUCCCCAUGUCUGAAGACUGCCUGUACCUCAACAUCUACACACCUGCCCACGCCCGUGAGGGAUCUAGCCUGCCUGUGAUGGUAUGGAUCCAUGGUGGUGCGCUCACUGUAGGCAUGGCCUCUAUGUAU